CUAUAAGAGAAUUGGUUAUAUCAUUUGAUCGUUUAGUGAACCAAUUUGCUCAGUAACGACGUUUUUGUGCUCAAUUCAACUUGUUGUACCGUUGCUUGUCUCAAGACAUCAAUAAAGAUAAAAAUUAAUUUUCGUGUUACCAGCUGACCAGAAGCGCAACAUUAUGUUUUGGUCAUAUCUUAUUUUUCUAUCAUUAUCAAUCGCAGUCGGUGAUUCGCAUCAAAUUCUAGAAAAUCAUUCUCCUCAAUUCAUAACAAUCGAUCCUAAGUCUUUAGUAGAAAAAUGUCAAUUCGUUGGUUAUCAAUGUCCGAGUUUGGUACAAUUUGAACAAGGACUUUGUACUGAUUGUGGUUUUGACGGCUCCAAAUGUGCUCUUCUUUCAACUUCUAUUGCAAAUGAACAACAAUUCGAUUGGAAACCAUCACAUAAUCAUUUGAAUGAAAAUUAUUAUCUUGCAGUACAUGAAAAGCUCCUUAUUGUCUUCAUCUUUAUGGAAUUGAGGUAUAUUUGAACAAUGCUACGAUACCACCAUUUUCGAAAUUCACUCUUGAUUUAGAAGGAACCAGAGGAAAAAUCUAUGGACUUAGUAUAUUAGAUAAUUUUGCAUACUCUGAGUACGAAAGAAAGUUUACUUUUCUUUUAAAAACUCAACGGACACUAGGCUCUAUUGAAAAAGCAACAGCUAAAUAUAACCAUGGUAUUACAUUGGAAACAAUAUAUCCGAGAAUCGGAGACAUAAAUGUUAAGUAUCUGAGCAAUAUUGAUCCAAGAAUCCGUCAGAUUGAAUCGACUCUUCUUUCACAAAAUAAUGUUAGCACUUUCGGAUUUCCUAAUAAAGAAUCCAACCCUCUUCAGCAUGAACUACCAAAAAGUAACGACUCAUCUAUGAAAUCAUUCAAAUGUAUUCCUGUAAUGUAAUGUAUGGAGAAAACGAUUUCGAUUUAAUAUUUGUAUCCAAAAAUCAAAAAUAAAUUUUUCUAAUAUCUAUUGAA